ensembl:lincRNA
CAUUUCUUUCUUAUUUUCCCUACUUCUUAAUUAUCACCAGUGGGGUGGACAGGAAGAAAAGUUUGGAAUGCACAUUUAGGUUUCCUGACAAAGGAUGGAGAGUGCCUGCUGUAUUGAGAUUAUGGGUGUGGGCCACAGUGCCCAGCCAGAUUUAUCUUUUAAUCCACCAAGGGAAUCUGAACUGUUAAUUAAUUGUUAACUGUUAAAACAUUGCUGGUCAAAAUAGCCCUGACGUGCCACUUGAAGCACGUGGGCAGCUCAGACAUGAACUUCCCAAACCAUGAAAAACAAAACAACAAAGAGGAUGGAAGACAGGGAGGAAAAGUCAUCAAAGGAAAGCAGCGAGAAACCGAGAACCCAGUGUGGAUGGGAUCAGAGUGAAUAAGCAGAUGUGGUUGGAAGCAUACUAUUGAUUAAAAUCACCUCGGCUAAAUAGACAAAUAGACGUAGCUCAGCCAAAACAUUGCCUAAUACAAUUUGCCAGAAUUCUCUGUCUUCCACUAGCAGGCUUCAGAUGAAGAUCUGAACUCUCAGCUUUGCCUGUACCAUGCCUGCCUGGAUGCUGCCUUGUUGCUGCCUUGAUGAUCAUGGACUGAACUUCUGAACCCGUAAGCCAGCCCCAAUUACAUGUUGUCCUUAUGAGUUGCCUUGGUCAUGGUGUCUGUUCACAGAAGCAAAACUCUAGCUAAGAGAGUGAAUUCGGAUGCAGAAAUCUCCUUCUCCAGCACCAUAUCUGCCUGCACGCUGCCAUGUUUCCCUCCAUGAUGACAUGGAUUGAUCCUCUGAAACUGUAAACCAGCCCCAAUCAAAUGCUUUCUUAUACAAGAGUUGCCAUGGUAACGUGUUUCUUCAUAGCAAUACGUUGCUGGCUAAGAUCGGUGGCGUCUUGUUUUCCUGACUAUUCAUGGUUCUUAGAGUCUUUUGUAGUUCUCUGUACAUUUGCAGAAGAGGUUGUCUCCUCCAGGUUUUAUCAACUAUCUCUGACAUAGUGAUAAACUUUACCUCUGAGGUGGGGUGCACUAAAGCAUAUUUUGACUCUAAACCUAGUGAGCCAGGGCACGUGUGGAGGCUUUCAGCUCAGAGGGUAAGGUGUCUAUCAGCUCUCGCAGCUGGCAUCCAAAGUGUUGACAGUGUGGCAGUCCCAUGCUGCGGGGACUGUUAGGGAUCCAGGGGCCAGGGCGGCAGUGGAGACAUGGGACACUCAGAUGCGUACACUUGGCCUCGAAGGCCAGCUGCCAGGUAUCUGCUGGGUGACAAGUUUGGUGGCAGACAAGUGCAGAGCGGGAAAGUUUAGAGGACGAGAAGCUUGGCAGCCAUAGCUUGUAAAGGCAAAUCUUGGCUACAGGUUAACGGAGUCCUCUUUGGAGCAAUGUUUCAAUUCUGUCACAGUAAAUAUUGUGAGUCCUCGGUGGUGAGACUGUGAGGAGUUUGCUGCUGCAAACUCCUAGGUCUGUUAAGUUUCUGGCAAAGAUGGCUCCAGGGUCCUCUUCUGAGGAGACUCUAAGGACAGCCAAGACACCUACCUACUAUAUUGCUGCUCUCUUUUGCUCCGAGCUAUUUCCAGAUGCACACUAUGCCAUUCUUGCUUAGUGAUCUGCAGAGAGUGGAACCAGGCUAGUCUUUCAAGAGGUGUCCUGAAAGUUUGUGGAAUAUGGCUGUUCACCCAGCCUUUCUUUUUCUUAAGAGCUGGUUCACUGGCUGGUUAGUUUCUUCUCAGCCAGGGUAGUGAUGGGCUGGAGAGAAGUGUGUCAGUCUGGCAAAAUGAACCAUUUGCCUAUUGUUUUGUGGCAUUUUACCUGGGCGUUUUUUCCUCCACCUUAUGUGUAUAUCUUUUACAAUACCCCCCCCCCCAGUAUUUCCAGAGAUAUUUAACUUCCUGGAUAAUUCAUUUGGUGGGGAGGGAGAAUUGUAAAAUCUGAUAUCUUACUCCAGUGUAUUGCUGCCAUCGAUUGCUACUGCCUGAUUGGAAAGCAUGACUCUAAAUCCCAGCCCUGCCUAUAUCCAGUUUCAGUGAGUUUGGCAGCCCCCUCGGUCUUUAUAAGCUCUUGCACAUGCUUUCUCGUACACGUGCUCAUAAACUCACGCAGGCUCGCACAGGUUCACAUAACUG